rnacentral:rRNA from 1 species
UACGAAGGGGGCUAGCGUUGCUCGGAAUGACUGGGCGUAAAGGGCGCGUAGGCGGAUUACAUAGUCAGAUGUGAAAUUCCCGGGCUUAACCUGGGGGCUGCAUUUGAUACAUGUAGUCUUGAGUGAGGAAGAGGGUUGUGGAAUUCCCAGUGUAGAGGUGAAAUUCGUAGAUAUUGGGAAGAACACCGGUGGCGAAGGCGGCAACCUGGUCCUUGACUGACGCUGAGGCGCGAAAGCGUGGGGAG